UUCUUUGAAGCCUUGAAACUAAAGUCCGCCUAUGGCGGGCAACAUCCGACUGUUGCUGGAAUGGCUGACACCGUCAACUAACCAGCAGCCGGGCAUGUCCCGGUCCACAGAUCAACAACGGAUGGCUCAGUGGUUAACGCCAGCUGAGUUAAGCUAUGACCGGCCCCAUCGUCUAAUGCGAUGGAAGCAAGCGUUCCGUAGGUGAACCUGCGGAAGGAUCAUUA
rnacentral:rRNA from 1 species